GUCCCUUCGGGGACAUCCGAUAAAAUUGGAACGAUAAAGAAAAGAUUAGCAUGGCCCCUGGGCAAGGAUGACACGCACAAAUCAAGAAAUGGUCCAUAAUUUU
rnacentral:snRNA from 1 species